GCUAAACCAUGCACCGAAGCUGCGGCAGCGACGCUUAUGCGUUGUUGGGUAGGGGAGCGUUCUGUAAGCCUGUGAAGGUGUGCUGUGAGGCAUGCUGGAGGUAUCAGAAGUGCGAAUGCUGACAUAAGUAACGAUAAAGCGGGUGAAAAGCCCGCUCGCCGGAAGACCAAGGGUUCCUGUCCAACGUUAAUCGGGGCAGGGUGAGUCGACCCCUAAGGCGAGGCCGAAAGGCGUAGUCGAUGGGAAACAGGUUAAUAUUCCUGUACUUGGUGUUACUGCGAAGGGGGGACGGAGAAGGCUAUGUUGGCCGGGCGACGGUUGUCCCGGUUUAAGCGUGUAGGCUGGUUUUCCAGGCAAAUCCGGAAAAUCAAGGCUGAGGCGU
rnacentral:rRNA from 1 species